UCCGGUUUGUCACCGGCAGUCUCGCAUGAGUCCCCAACUAAAUGCUGGCAACAUACGACGGGGGUUGCGCUCGUUGCGGGACUUAACCCAACAUCUCACGACACGAGCUGACGACAGCCGUGCACCACCUGCACACCAGCCACAAGGGAACGCCCAUCUCUGGACGCGUCUAGUGCAUGUCAAACCCAGGUAAGGUUCUUCGCGUUGCGUCGAAUUAAACCACAUGCUCCGCUGCUUGUGCGGGCCCCCGUCAAUUCCUUUGAGUUUUAGCCUUGCGGCCGUAGUCCCCAGGCGGUGGACUCAUCGCGUAAGCUGCGACACCGAAGGGGUCGAUCCCACCGGCAUCUAGUAUCCAUCGUUUACGGCGUGGACUAC
rnacentral:misc_RNA from 1 species